AAUAAUAUGUUUGUGUGUGUGUGAGAGAGAGAGAGAGAGAGAGAGGACCAUCUCUUUCGCGUUCAUCUUGCAUCGCUCGCGAUCUCCAAUGGCCGAGAUUGAGUUAAAAACAGCACCGGCUGAUUUUCGCUUUCCUACAACUAAUCAAACAAGGCAUUGUUUUACUCAUAUAUCAGAGUUCCAUAAAUGUGUGAAUGCUAAAGGUGAUGAUUCUGGAGAAUGUGAAAAGUUUGCUAAAUACUACCGAUCUCUCUGCCCAGGCGAAUGGGUGGGUAUCAUGCUAUUUUCUUUAAACCUAUUUGUAGCUUAAAUGUAGCUUGUGGUUUUCUAGCCAAUCUUGUUCAUAUAUCCUCAGCCUAUAGUAUUGGAUCACAUUCCCAUGU